rnacentral:rRNA from 1 species
AUUGAACGCUGGCGGCAGGCCUAACACAUGCAAGUCGAGCGGAUGAAGGGAGCUUGCUCCUGGAUUCAGCGGCGGACGGGUGAGUAAUGCAUAGGAAUAUGCCUGGCAGUGGGGGAUAACGUCUGGAAACGGGCGCUAAUACUGCAUACGUCCUGCGGGUGAAAGUGGGGGAUCUUCGGACCUCAUGCUAUCAGAUGAGCCUAGGUCGGAUUAGCUAGUUGGUGGGGUAAAGGCCUACUAAGGCGACGAUCCGUAACUGGUCUGAGAGGAUGAUCAGUCACACUGGAACUGAGACACGGUCCAGACGCCUACGAGAGGCAGCAGUGGGGAAUAUUGGACAGUGGGCGAAAGCCUGGUCCAGCCAGGCCGCGUGUGUUAAGAAGGUCUUCGGAUUGUAAAGCACUUUAAGUUGGGGGGAAGGGCAGUAGGUUAAUACCUUGCUGUUGUGACGUUACCAACAGAAGAAGCACCGGCUAACUUCGUG